CGCAGAGUUUGAAGGGAAGCCACUGC
rnacentral:piRNA from 1 species